rnacentral:snRNA from 1 species
GUGCUUGCUUUGGCAGCACAGAUACUAAAAUUGGAAUGAUACAGAGAAGAUUAGCAUGGCCCCUGUGCAAGGAUGACAUGCAAAUUUGUGAAGCGUUCCAUAUUUUU